GAAUCUUGCGCAAUGGGCGAAAGCCUGACGCAGCGACGCCGCGUGAGGGAUGAAGGCCUUCGGGUCGUAAACCUCUGUCAGGGGGGAAGAACCCCCGGCCGGUGAAUAACCGGCCGGACUGACGGUACCCCCAGAGGAAGCACCGGCCAACUCCGUGCCAGCAGCCGCGGUAAGACGGAGGGUGCAAACGUUGUUCGGAAUUACUGGGCGUAAAGGGCGCGUAGGCGGACUCGUAAGUCAGGAGUGAAAACUCGGGGCUCAACCCCGAGCCUGCUUCUGAAACUGCAAGUCUUGAGGACCGGAGAGGAAAGUGGAAUUCCCAGUGUAGCGGUGGAAUGCGUAGAUAUUGGGAAGAACACCAGUGGCGAAGGCGACUUUCUGGACGGUUCCUGACGCUGAGGCGCGAAAGCUAGGGGAGCAAACAGG
rnacentral:rRNA from 1 species